UCACCCUAUGGUGAACUUCAGGUUAGCC
rnacentral:piRNA from 1 species